CUAGCCAGGCUCCACCCUUGGUCCCGCUUGAGCUCCUCACAUCAGAGGUCAGCAAAGUUCACGAUUUCUGCCCUUCUUAUCUGGGCUCACACAGCCCAGU